UACGUAGGGGGCUAGCGUUGUCCGGAUUUAUUGGGCGUAAAGAGCGUGUAGGCGGCCAGGUAAGUCUGCUGUGAAAACUCGAGGCUCAACCUCGAGACGUCGGCGGAAACCAUCUGGCUAGAGUCGGAAGAGGAGAGUGGAAUUCCUGGUGUAGCGGUGAAAUGCGCAGAUAUCAGGAAGAACACCCGUGGCGAAGGCGGCUCUCUGGGACGGUACUGACGCUGAGACGCGAAAGCGUGGGGAGCGAACAGG
rnacentral:rRNA from 1 species